UACGAAGGGGGCUAGCGUUGCUCGGAAUCACUGGGCGUAAAGCGCACGUAGGCGGACUCUUAAGUCGGUGGUGAAAUCCUGGAGCUCAACUCCAGAACUGCCUUCGAUACUGGGAGUCUCGAGUUCGGGAGAGGUGAGUGGAACUGCGAGUGUAGAGGUGAAAUUCGUAGAUAUUCGCAAGAACACCAGUGGCGAAGGCGGCUCACUGGCCCGAUACUGACGCUGAGGUGCGAAAGCGUGGGGAGCAAGCAGG
rnacentral:rRNA from 1 species